rnacentral:tRNA from 1 species
GGGCGAAUAGCUCAGGUGGUAUGAGCGCCUCGCUUACAACGAGGAGGUCGUAGGUUCGAGUCCUACUUCGCCCA